rnacentral:rRNA from 1 species
GACGAACGCUGGCGGCGCGCUUAACACAUGCAAGUCGAGCGAUGAAACUUUAACAGAACCCUUCGGGGCGAAGAUAAAGUGGAUUAGCGGCGGACGGGUGAGUAACACGUGAGUAACCUGCCUUAGACAUUGGGAUAGCCUCGGGAAACCGGGAUUAAUACCAAAUAAAAUCAUAAUGACACAUGUCAUAACGAUCAAAACUCCGGUGGUCUAAGAUGGACUCGCGACCCAUUAGCUAGUUGGUAGAGUAAAAGCCUACCAAGGCGACGAUGGGUAGCCGGCCUGAGAGGGUGAACGGCCACAUUGGAACUGAGAAACGGUCCAAACUCCUACGGGAGGCAGCAGUGGGGAAUAUUGCACAAUGGAGGGAACUCUGAUGCAGCGACGCCGCGUGAACGAAGAAGGCUUUCGAGUCGUAAAGUUCUUUUAUAUGGGAAGAUAAUGACGGUACCAUAAGAAAAAGCCCCGGCUAACUACGUG